UGCUUUUAAACAAGACGCUCGGAGCCAUACAGAAGAAAAAAUGCAAAUCUGUGCUAAUUGCUAAAGAGAAAAGGAGACGAGGGCCAGUUAAUCAAGAAAGCUGCUUAAAGCAAUGCCAAAAUAACUCCACACCUCCUGACCUGAACAAACUGAGCACGCCACUAUGCAUCUGGCUUUCCACAGAAACUCAGCUGGGCUUUAAGGAUUGCUCUUAAGCCUGACAUGUUUGGCAGCAAUACAACUUAAAUGUGACAACACUCAUUUUAGAGAUCUGCUUGCAUUCAUAUACGGAGGGUGGUGCGGACGGACCAGUACAUCACUGGGGCCGAGCUCCCAGCCAUCGAAGACAUCUAUGCCAGGCGGUGUCUGAGGAAGGCCCCAAAAAUUGGAGAAGGGAAGUCCCACAGGGAGACAUGUCUGAGUUGUCUGAAGAACGCUGCACAUCUCUGGUUUUCCGGCUGACCUCUAUCAAGACACCCAUGUCGACUGGAUUCCUACUGUGAAGAUGAGCAAUGCUGCAUCAGUUCUCAUUCACUAUGUUUUACUCUUUCAGAUAUGAAAGGAGACAUCCCUCAGUUAUACAAGAUGGUUGACAUAUGCUGUGCUUUGGUCAAUCUGAAUGAUUAUGUUGUGCCAUUUGAGUAGAGAGCACUUUCACCUUGUUGUCAUGACAAAAGUACCCCCUUAAAUCAUAUGAAUAUAUAAAAUGUAAUUUGGAAAAACAUGUCAAAUCCUGUUGUUUAUUGUAAACAGACUAUACUUCAGUAAUAGGCUAUGUUGUUGUAUGGGUGAAAUUAAAAGUGU